CAAAUCCGGGUAUCUUCCAACCCGACAGAUGGUGCUAUACUGUAUAACAUUCAUACAUUCAUUUAAUUGAAAAGCCUCAAAGAACGAACAUAACUUCUAUAUAUUUAGAGUAAUAUUUACAUUUCCCAAGUUCUAUACCUGUUACAAAGGUUCUUUGUUAUAAUAUCAGUUAAAUUACAACAAUAGACCUAUACUAUUACAAGACAGCUUAGUAAUCUGCCUUAGCUUUUCCUUUAUCCUUUUUCGAUCCUUCGGGACGUUCAGUCUUAGCUGCAUUCAUAUGGUUCAAGCAAGAGUGAGCAUAACUAGCUCAGCAAGUAUAACAAUUUAAUAACAAUAUGCUUGACACAUACAAAUCAUAUAUCUUCAAUAACUGAACAAUAGUUAUGAAGUACUAUUAAUAAUUCAAAAUAGCACUUCAUCUUUUCUUUCAAAAUGUUUUACAAUAACAACAAUAUUUAGUAAAACAUUCACUCCGGUUAGAGACCUCGAGUAUUCAUUCUUUACUGAAAAAGGACAACUCGAAAACAAGUCCGUAAGCCUGAUAUCACUUACGAGCACUUCUAGGUGAUCAGCCUAUUGUACUUUAUGUUGAUCAACACUACAUACAUUAAAUGUAUGCACGUUUAAGCAUUUGGCAACCUUACGUGUCUGUCGUUUUACCGACAAAACAUUUGUUUAACAUUUCAGUCUUCUUUUGAAAACCAUAUCAAGUAGUUGAUAAAAGAUAGCAACAUUUAAUAAUACAUGAAUAGAUUAUCAAUUCAUCAAGUCUAGCCAAAGGAAUUGGCUUUAACUUCCAUAUACCUCAAUUCAUGCGAAAGAAUACAUGAACCUCAAAAACAUUUUCAGAUUGAACUGAGACAAGAGUUAGAAUACUUGCCUUUAGCGUCUGCUAUGGUAAAUUAACUUUAUGUUCAAGUCGUACAAGUCUCUACAAUACAUGAUCACAUAAUGCCUUAGAUUAGGUCACAUAUAAUCAAGUAUGUAUAUGACUAUAUCAUACCCUUUAUUUCAAUCUAAUUGUGUAUUAGAUUCAGUUACUAUUCGUUCCAGUUUAUCAUUACCGUUGCAUUACAUUUUGACUAGGUUAUCUUAACCUUUACAUUACAUUCCUUAAGGUUUAACAAAGUUUAAACAAUGUUAUUUUACCUUCCUUAAGUUAUGUUUACUUUUAAUCAAUUAGGUUUUCUUUUCUUUGUAAUUAGAAACCUUCAUUACUAUCUUUGUUCUGAGACUGGCGCUGCGGCGCCAGCUUUAUGCUUACA
rnacentral:lncRNA from 1 species